rnacentral:rRNA from 1 species
GACGUAGGGUGCGAGCGUUGUCCGGAUCUAUUGGGCGUAAAGAGCUCGUAGGCGGCUCGUCGCGUCGACCGUGAAAACCCGCAGCUUAACUGCGGGCUUGCGGUUGAUACGGGCGGGCUAGAGUUCGGUAGGGGAGACUGGAAUUCCUGGUGUAGCGGUGAAAUGCGCAGAUAUCAGGAAGAACACCCGUGGCGAAAGCGGCUCUCUAGAACGGUACUGACGCUGAGACGCGAAAGCGUGGGGAGCGAACAGG